rfam:Ajellomyces capsulatus NAm1 scaffold_44 genomic scaffold, whole genome shotgun sequence.
UGAUCGACACACAGGGGAGUCCCAGUGUGACGGGUGCGAUGCCGAGUGGGAGGCCAGGGAGGCCGUGUUCACCCCCAGCCCAGGUGGCACGCCCACGCCCACACCCAGUAUCCGCCGCGGCCGGGCCAGCGUCGGUUUCGACGGCCGGUCAAAGGCCCCCGGAAUGUGUCGCCUCUCGGGGCGUCUUAUAGCCGGGGGUGCAAUGCGGCCAGUCGGGACCGAGGAACGCGCUCCGGCACGGACGCUGGCUUAAUGGUCGUCAGCGACCCGUCUUGAAACACGGACCAAGGAGUCUAACAUCCACGCGAGUGUUCGGGUGUCAAACCCGUCCGCGCAGUGAAAGCGAAUGGAGGUGGGAACCCCUGAGGGUGCACCAUCGACCGAUCCUGAAGUUUUCGGAUGGAUUUGAGUAGGAGCGUGGCUGUUGGGACCCGAAAGAUGGUGAACUAUGCCUGAAUAGGGUGAAGCCAGAGGAAACUCUGGUGGAGGCUCGCAGCGGCUCUGACGUGCAAAUCGAUCGUCAAAUUUGGGUAUAGGGGCGAAAGACUAAUCGAACCAUCUGGUAGCUGGUUCCUGCCGACGUUUAACCUCAGGAUAGCAGUAACGUUUUCAGUUUUAUGACCCUAGCAGGCUCAUUAGAGGCCUUGGGGCUCGAAACAACCUUAACCUAUUCGAAUC